rnacentral:rRNA from 1 species
UAACCUGCCCAAGAGAUCGGGAUAACACCUGGAAACAGAUGCUAAUACCGGAUAACAACAGAUGAUGCCUAUCAACUGUUUAAAAGAUGGUUCUGCUAUCACUCUUGGAUGGACCUGCGGUGCAUUAGCUAGUUGGUAGGGUAACGGCCUACCAAGGCGAUGAUGCAUAGCCGAGUUGAGAGACUGAUCGGCCACAUUGGGACUGAGACACGGCCCAAACCUCCUACGGGAGGCAGCAGCC